rnacentral:rRNA from 1 species
UACGGGGGGGGCAAGCGUUGUUCGGAAUCACUGGGCGUAAAGGGCGCGUAGGCGGCUGUUCAAGUCGGGGGUGAAAUCCCGUGGCUCAACCACGGAAUGGCCUUCGAUACUGGACGGCUCGAGACCGGAAGAGGUGAGUGGAACUGCGAGUGUAGAGGUGAAAUUCGUAGAUAUUCGCAAGAACACCAGUGGCGAAGGCGGCUCACUGGUCCGGUUCUGACGCUGAGGCGCGAAAGCGUGGGGAGCAAACAGG